UACGUAGGGGGGCUAGCGUUGUCCGGAUUUAUUGGGCGUAAAGAGCGUGUAGGCGGCCAUGUAGGUCCGGGUGUGAAAACUCGAGGCUUAACCUCGAGAUGUCAUCGGGAAACCAUUUGGCUAGAGUCCGGAAGAGGAGAGUGGAAUUCCUGGUGGUAGCGGUGAAAUGCGCAGAUAUCAGGAAGAACACCAAUGGCGAAAGCAGCUCUCUGGGACGGUACUGACGCUGAGACGCGAAAGCGUGGGGAGCGAACAGG
rnacentral:rRNA from 1 species